UUAGAUUAGACCACAGGCACCACCGCUAGAUUAGACCACAGGCACCACCGCUAGAUUAGACAACAGGCACCACCGCUAGAUUAGACCACAGGCACCACCGCUAGAUUAGACCACAGGCACCACCGCUAGAUUAGACCACAGGCACCACCGCUAGAUUAGACAACACCGCUAGAUUAGACCACAGAUACCACCGCUAGAUUAGACCACAGGCACCACCGCUAGAUUAGACCACAGGCAACACCGCUAGAUUAGACCACAGACAACACCGCUAGAUUAGACAACACCGCUAGAUUAGACAACACCGCUAGAUUAGACCACAGGCACCACCACUAGAUUAGACCACAGACACCACCGCUAGAUUAGACCACAGGCACCACCACUAGAUUAGACCACAGACACCACCGCUAGAUUAGACAACAGGCACCACCGCUAGAUUAGACCACAGGCACCACCGCUAGAUUAGACAACACCGCUAGAUUAGACAGGCACACCGCUAGAUUAGACACCACCGCUAGAUUAGACAACACCGCUAGAUUAGACAACACCGCUAGAUUAGACCACAGACACCGCUAGAUUAGACAGGCAACACCGCUAGAUUAGGCACACAG
ensembl:lncRNA